UUUAUUACAUUUAGUAUCUUCAUUAUAACAUCAUUUUACAAACAUAUAAUGCUCUUUUCUAAUAUAAUUAGAUUUUUAAACUUUACUUUUUUUAUACUCUAAAUUUUUUCUUUUAUACACUAAAUUCUGUGUUUUGUGUAGGUGUGUAUAUGUGUGCCUGUAUGUCCUUACAUGUGUGCAUAUGUUGUGAUCAUGCAUAUUUGUGUGGGGUAAGUGUGCAUUUGUGUGUGCAUAUUUUAAUACAACCUUUCUUGAUGAUGAUUGUUGGAGUUUAUUCCAAUUAGUAAUGAUGUCUGAUUUUUAUGAUCCUUAAGGCUGUAAUUCAAAAUUAAUCUGCUAUUCAAUCUGCUCUACAGAAAUCACAGAGAAAUUUGCAUGAUUAUUAUAGUUAUUUCACAAAAUUCCUGUGCAUGUGAUAACGAGUUUGAUGAAGACAACUGAAUCAUUCAUCUCUCUGUGUACACAAUGUGACUGACUGGCCAUUGCUGAAAUGAGAGGAGAGUGCGGACUUCCUGCAUUUCAAGGUCCUUCGGCUGUGGAUAUGGCGACAGCUGGUGAAGAGCCUCUGCUGGUGCUUUUGAGAAUAUAUUCUCCAGGUGCUGAUGUGAUUUCCCAGCAUAAUAUAGUCCAAGAAAGAAACCCAGAGCAGGAAAAAGAAGAGGAGAAAAUGGCAGCUUCUCAGGUAAGAGUCAUGGCCCAGGUCAGGGGUGGCAUCCUCUUUUCCUCCUGAAAUGACAUGUAUUUAGAAAUUGUAAACCUUAAAUCUCUCCUUCUGAUGAUCCUACUUAACAAAUUUUUCAAGUACUUUUUUCUCCUAUUUUCUUCUAUGACAAUCAAGGUUAGCUCCUUAGAAUACGUCUUUCCUAUAUGCCAGAUCCUUCUCUCCAUUCUCACCAUUGUGGCUUCCUAUAUGACAUGAACAAUUCUCACCAUGACUUAAUGCCCUGCAUCCAUUGAAAAUGUUCCCAGUGUGACAGAUGAAGAGGGAGAGGCAUUAAUGUUCAAGAUUCCCAUUGUCUUUGGGGUCAAGACCUUGGAUAUCAGUGAAGGAGAAACAUCUUAUGUUCACAUCCUAUCUGGAUGCUCCAUCAGCUCUGUUGUAGACUCAGAUUAAGAAAAUGCACAAAUACACAAGAUGACUGUGUGGCCCAGAAUUACUGAGAAAUUUCUGAAAAAGGAAGAGAGCCUUGCUCACUAGAAUGCUAAAGAGACUUACUAUUUAAAACACACUAAAGAUUAUGGGACACUGGAGCUAUAUAUGGCUUAAGAUUUUCAUAAGCUGCUGUUUUCUUAUGGUUAGAUUCAAGUUAUGAUUUACUUUCUUUUUUGUUGGCCAACAAUAACACAGGAGUGGUGAUGUGUCCUUUGGCAUGCUUCAGGCACCUGAUAUCAAUUUUUCCCGUUGCAGCUGAUGUUAACUUCAUUCACUUGGUUCAGGUACUCUCUGCCAGAUUUCUCCUCUAUAUCGUUAAUAUUUUUUCCAAUUAUUAAUAAAAGUUUUGGGGAGAUUUAGUGAGUGACGUGC
rnacentral:lncRNA from 1 species